AUUGAACGCUGGCGGCAUGCCUUACACAUGCAAGUCGAACGGCAGCGGACCUUCGGGUGCCGGCGAGUGGCGAACGGGUGAGUAAUAGUAUCGGAACGUACCUUUCAGUGGGGGGAUAACGUAGCGAAAGUUACGCUAAUACCGCAUAUUCUGUGAGCAGGAAAGCAGGGGAUCGCAAGACCUUGCGCUGAUUGAGCGGCCGAUAUCAGAUUAGCUAGUUGUGAGGUAAAGGCGUCACCAAGGCGACGAUCUGUAGCGGGUCUGAGAGGAUGAUCCGCCACACUGGAACUGAGACACGGUCCAGACUCCUACGGGAGGCAGCAGUGGGGAAUUUUGGACAAUGGGCGCAAGCCUGAUCCAGCCAUG
rnacentral:rRNA from 1 species